UACAGGGGGUGCAAACGUUGCUCGGAAUUAUUGGGCGUAAAGCGCGCGUAGGCGGCUACUUAAGUCGGAUGUGAAAGCCCUUGGCUCAACUGAGGAAGUGCACCCGAAACUGAGUGGCUUGAGUACUAAAGAGGGUCGCGGAAUUCCCGGUGUAGAGGUGAAAUUCGUAGAUAUCGGGAGGAACACCGGUGGCGAAGGCGGCGACCUGGGUAGAUACUGACGCUGAGGCGCGACAGCGUGGGGAGCAAACAGG
rnacentral:rRNA from 1 species